CCUACGGGAGGCAGCAGUGGGGAAUUUUGGACAAUGGGCGCAAGCCUGAUCCAGCAAUGCCGCGUGAGUGAAGAAGGCCUUCGGGUUGUAAAGCUCUUUUGUCAGGGAAGAAACGGUGGAGGCUAAUAUCCUUUGCUAAUGACGGUACCUGAAGAAUAAGCACCGGCUAACUACGUGCCAGCAGCCGCGGUAAUACGUAGGGUGCAAGCGUUAAUCGGAAUUACUGGGCGUAAAGCGUGCGCAGGCGGUUUUGUAAGUUUGUCGUGAAAUCCCCGGGCUCAACCUGGGAAUGGCGAUGAAGACUGCAAGGCUAGAAUCUGGCAGAGGGGGGUAGAAUUCCACGUGUAGCAGUGAAAUGCGUAGAGAUGUGGAGGAACACCGAUGGCGAAGGCAGCCCCCUGGGUCAAGAUUGACGCUCAUGCACGAAAGCGUGGGGAGCAAACAGGAUUAGAUACCCUGGUAGUCCACGCCCUAAACGAUGUCUACUAGUUGUCGGGUUUUAAUUAACUUGGUAACGCAGCUAACGCGUGAAGUAGACCGCCUGGGGAGUACGGUCGCAAAGAUUAAAAACUCAAAAGUAGAAGUUGGACGGU
rnacentral:rRNA from 1 species